GAGACCUAUGAAAAGAAGAUUUGAACUGGUUCUGAAGAAUGAUCAGGGCUGCUCUGGAGGCAAGAGAUGUAGAAAGCACGUUCCAGGAAGAAGCAUCUGUAUACGUGGAAGGUGGAAUACACAGGAGAGACAAGGAGUAUCUCUCUUCCCCUGUCAUGGAAACCAACGGGGCCUUCUGUUGACAUGAGGAACCACAAGACUAUGGCUGCCUGGAUUCAAGAGUUACCAUAUCAUCGACCAUUGCCCUAAAGCAGAAUCAGUGAGUGCAGACUUCGGAGAAAGAAAAG